rnacentral:rRNA from 1 species
CCUACGGGAGGCAGCAGUAGGGAAUAUUGCUCAAUGGGGGAAACCCUGAAGCAGCAACGCCGCGUGGAGGAUGAAGGUUUUCGGAUUGUAAACUCCUUUUGUUAGAGAAGAUAAUGACGGUAUCUAACGAAUAAGCACCGGCUAACUCCGUGCCAGCAGCCGCGGUAAUACGGAGGGUGCAAGCGUUACUCGGAAUCACUGGGCGUAAAGAGCGCGUAGGCGGGAUAGCAAGUCAGAUGUGAAAUCCUAUGGCUUAACCAUAGAACUGCAUUUGAAACUGGUAUUCUAGAGUAUGGGAGAGGUAGGUGGAAUUCUUGGUGUAGGGGUAAAAUCCGUAGAGAUCAAGAGGAACACUCAUUGCGAAGGCGACCUACUAGAACAUAACUGACGCUGAUGCGCGAAAGCGUGGGGAGCAAACAGGAUUAGAUACCCCUGUAGUC